rnacentral:sRNA from 1 species
GGCGUAAUGGGCAAAGAUGAGCGUGAAGGCAACAGCCCAUCCUUCUUCAACCCUGAAGAGGCUGCCACAGUGACUUCUUACCUGAAGCUGCUCCUGGCCCCCUCCUCCAAGAAGGGCAAAGCCCGCCUGAGCCCUCGAAGCGUGGGAGUCAUCUCCCCGUACCGGAAACAGGUGGAGAAAAUCCGUUACUGCAUCACCAAACUUGACAGGGAGCUUCGAGGACUGGAUGACAUCAAGGACUUGAAGAACACUUUGCAGGCCCCAGCCCUUAGCAGGAUUCACCCUUCAGGUUUCAGCUUCCACAGCCUACCUCCCGUCCCCUUUCCCUGGGCUGUGUCACAGCACUGGUUCACUCCACUGAUCUACAAUUGCCCAGUGACCUCUCUGUACCCUCCUUGGAAGGCAAGCUCCCUGGGGUAGGGCACCCCUUUGACACCCCUGGCUGGUCUCAGGCCCUGCCUCUUUCCCCACUAGGUGGGUUCAGUGGAAGAAUUCCAAGGCCAAGAACGAAGCGUCAUCCUCAUCUCCACCGUGCGAAGCAGUCAGAGCUUUGUGCAGCUGGAUCUGGACUUUAAUCUGGGUUUCCUUAAGAACCCCAAGAGGUUCAAUGUAGCUGUGACCCGGGCCAAGGCCCUGCUCAUCAUCGUGGGGAACCCCCUUCUCCUGGGCCAUGACCCUGACUGGAAAGUGUGAGCAUUCCCACCCCGUUCUCCCUCUUAGUGGCCACAGCCCCUGCCUGGGGCAGGUGGAUCUUUUUUAAGCGCUUGCUUAUCGCUCAGUUAAUCCUCAGAUGUGUCCAUUUUCACAGCCUCCCUAUUGUAUUUAUAAGUUAAAUGACAUCCAGAGGUUGAGCAAGUACAGCUCAGAUGGGACAGGACCGUGGCUUAGCCUCCAGUCUCUGCUGGCACUCCUCUGUACCCCACAGAUUCCUGGAGUUCUGUAAAGAAAACGGAGGGUAUACCGGGUGUCCCUUCCCUGCCAAACUGGACCUGCAACAGGGACAGAAUUUACUGCAAGGUCUGAGCAAGCUCAGCCCCUCUACCUCAGGGCCCCAUAGUCAUGACUACCUCCCCCAGGAGCGGGAGGGUGAAGGGGGCCUGUCUCUGCAAGUGGAGCCAGAGUGGAGGAAUGAGCUCUGAAGACACAGCACCCAGCCUUCUCGCACCAGCCAAGCCUUAACUGCCUGCGUGACCCUGAACCAGAACCCAGCUGAGCCGCCCCUCCAAGGGACAGGAAGGCUGGGGGAGGGAGUUUACAACCCAAGCCAUUCCACCCCCUCCCCUGCUGGGGAGAAUGACACAUCAAGCUGCUAACAAUUGGGGGAAAGGGGAGGAAGAAAACUCUGAAAACAAAAUCUUGUUCUAUGCAAAA